rnacentral:rRNA from 1 species
UACGGAGGGAGCUAGCGUUGUUCGGAUCUACUGGGCGUAAAGCGCACGUAGGCGGCGCCGUAAGUCAGGGGUGAAAUCCCGGAGCUCAACUCCGGAACUGCCUUUGAAACUGCGGUGCUAGAAUCCUGGAGAGGCGAGUGGAAUUCCGAGUGUAGAGGUGGAAUUCGUAGAUAUUAGGAAGAACACCAGUGGCGAAGGCGGCUCACUGGUCCGGUACUGACGCUGAGGUGCGAAAGCGUGGGGAGCAAACAGG